rnacentral:lncRNA from 1 species
ACAACCAUAAAACUGAAUAUACCUUUCUGAAUAGAAUUCUAACACAUAGAAAGUACCCCACUCUGCAUGCUUUUUUACUUUUCAAUGUACCCUUGGAGACUGAAAUAAUAAUUUGAUAUUCUCUGUCUGCUGGUGCUAGAUGGGCUUUUCCUUUAAUGAUGCAAUGCUUCCAGUGGCCAGAAAGUCUCAGGACAUUGACAGAAGAAUCUGUUGGAGCUUUGCUCCUUCACAUUGGUUUGCUGGUGAGCACCAUCUCUGACUGUUUCCAUUCAACAAGCUCUCUGACACUACAAGAAGCUCUCUCUUCAUCUGGUAGAAUAACAGUGAACUUGGGUCUGCUUCCUGCCCACCUUUCUUGCUAUCUCUGGAACUGCCUUCAGAUUUAGACAGUUUGAAUAUUACCAGCUCCUAGGAACCAUUUGACAGGAAUGCUAAGGUUCUCAGAAAAGAGUUAGUUGUCAAAGGCUUUCUCUAGUCACAUGACUGGGUUGAUAAGUUUAAAUGUAGCCAAGUGUUUCUCAAGUGUAUUUGGAAUAUUUUAGGAUAUUCAAUCUCUCUCUGUCUCUCUGUCUCUCUCUCUCUCUCUGUCUCUGUCUCUCUCUCUGUCUCUGUCUCUCUGUCUCUGUCUCUCUGUCUCUCUGUCUCUCUGCCUCUCUCUGUCUCUCUCUCUUUCUCUGUCUCCCUGUCUUUGUCUCUCUCUUUCUCUCUCUCUGUCUCUCUGUGUGUGUGUGUGUGUGUGUGUGUGUGUGUAUGUCCUCUUUUUCUCACAGUUUGAGAAUUGGUCUUGGAAAAACUCUCUACAGAUUUUUUUUGGUUUUGUUUUGUUUUCGUUGUUGUUGUUUUUGUUUGUUUGUUUGUUUGUUUGUUUUUUGAUACAGGGUUUCUCUGUGUAGCCCUGGCUGGCCUGAAACUCACUCUCUAGACCAGGCUGGCCUCGAACUCAGAAAUCCACCUGCCUCUGCCUCCCAAGAUUCUACAGCUUACAUUGCUAACUACAAAAAUCAGCAUAGAGAGUUUUUCCAAGACCAGUUCUGCAGUUAUCUGUGAUCAGCAGUAUCGGGGAUCACCUCGGAUCCAGAGCAUCUAUCUAGUCAAGGCAUGGGCAAUUGGUUUACUUUGUAUGCUGACUCCUCCUGCAGGGUUAGUCUGAAAGUAACUUCCGUCCUGCAAAGCCCCUGGGUAAGCUGGAUGUGAAUGGUGCAUAAGAAACAAGCCUUGUGGAAGGAAUCCCAGAAAAGUGGCGGAAGUUCUGAUGGAUUAGUUCACUGGAUUCACUGACACAUGAUGCUUGCAAAGGAACUGGAGGCCAGAUAAGUGUGGCAAGACUGACUUGAAGACAAGAAAACAGGUUAUUUAAGGUUUGGGACCAUGACUUGUUUGACAGUCUUCACAAAUUACAACAUCUCAGGCAGAGUUUUGUUCUAUUUGAAAAUCAUUAUGGACUACAAAUGUGAUCAGGAAGGGGGCUGUUGUGGGGAGACAUUUGCAGAGGAAGUGACUUCAAGGUGCAUGCUGAAGGAUGAAUCAAAUGAGGAAAUCAUCAGAACAAUGUGUACAAGAUGAAGAGACAGCAAAGAAGAGCUGCUGACCACUGGGCACUGGACAACCAAUUGGUGUAUUCUUUCCUGGAUAUUCCUUCUGGACCCCUGGAUCAUUCUCAGGAAGACUCAAUUUCAGAUGCCAAGCUGUGGUGGUCAUCACUCACUUGUCCUUUCAAAGACAACAUUCAUUCUUGUCUUCUGAGUUUUCAUAUUUACAACCUUCCUCCUAUCAAGGAAUACUGAAGUUUUAUUCACUAUUAUCAAGGAAUAGUGAUGUUUUAUGAUACGUAAUAACUAUUCACUUCAAGGUUAAGAAGCAGCUUUAGACUUACGAUCUAUCUUUCUGAAAGUGCAGUUCAAAAUUGCUCCAGAGUCUUGCUCUUCAAAACUAUCAAAACCAUACAAGACAAAAAAAAAUUUAUAUUACAGUCUUUAAAAAAUUACAGGGAUAACAAGAUGGCUCAGUUUAUAUAAAGGCACUUGUCAUCAAACCUGACGACCAGUCCUUCCACAAUAAAUUAACUAAAUAAAAUUUAAUGCAAAUAAAAUAAAUAAAAUAAAUGAUCUUGGCACUCACCUUGCAGUAAAAAAAAAUAUUUGAAUAAUUGGAGUGCUGCAUAUUAUGUUGUUCAAUUUAGCUAAUAUCUUUGGCUCACUCUGUUGGACUAUACUGUAAUUUGUCUGAAAGUUUCGAUUAAUAUAAAAAAGAAGACUGAGGAAAAUAAACAAGAAACAAACAACAGAGAAUGUACCUUUGUAUUGGCAGUAGGGAUGGGUUUAAGAAGAUUUCUUUCCUAGUGUAGGGGCAUACAUUUAAAAAUAGAAAAGGAAUCCUAUAAAUGAGCUUAGUAAGAAUAAAAGUAAUAACAAAAUAGCUUUAAAAAAUGAAAUUAAUUACAAAACUAUGAACAGUUGCUUCAAAAAAGAGAUAUAAGGAUAAGAUAAAUGCAACAACUAGAUCAUUAGAAAAAAUGGGACCUAAAAUGUAUGUGAAUCACCGCAGACAUGUUCUCUGAAUAAAAUAAACACAAUUGUGAAAUGUUUGGUUCAAAAGAAAUGGUGACUGUACAAGCCAGAGCGUGAGUGGCAUCACCAUGGAUACAGAUAUACAAUACCAACAUAUUUGAACAUCCACCUGAAGUUGAUGAUGUAAUAGAAAAAUAGAAGUUCAAUCAAGAAAAUGAAGAAUAUCUGAAUGCUCUGGAUACACACAUAUCCUCAAACUAUACCUCAACACUGUGGUGGUACCGCUUCUAGUGAGGAAGAGAAGCAUUUGGUUAUUGGGACAAUUCAACACUGAAAAAUGUCAGUUUCCUUCAACAGAAUUAUAAAUUUAAUCUUCUCUCAAUCAAAAUUCCAUUAUAGUCUUUCACACAUACUACAAAUCUAAUUCUAAGUUUAAAUGAAAGAGAAUGUUGACAAAUAGAGCAAAGAUCUCUUGGAAAACAGGAAAUAAUGAGGUACUGUGUCUAUCCAAAUACUAUAUAUAAAAAAGCAGCAAUUCAGCAAAUGAUAUGAAUGUGUCGUAGCACUCAUCUGUGGAGAGUGAUGGGGAUUUCAGACAUGGAUCAAUGGACAUAGAAGUAUUGUGUGUUACAUGUAUACUUCAUAAGAUGAUGUUAAGACAGUUGAUAUAUUUUUAAAAAUUUUUAUGUACUAUGCAUGUGUAUAAGUCUGCAUGCAGUUAUGUGCCUGUGAAUACAGGUGCUAUGGAGGCCAGAAAUGGGUAUCAGAUAUCUUGGAUAUGGGGUUAAUUACGAGCUGCCAGACCUGGGUCCUCUGUAAGAGCAGUAUAUAUUUCUGAACUAAUCAGCCGUCUUUCCAUCCCCAUUGACUUUCUCUUAGGAAAGACAAGUUUAAACAUCUACUUCUUAAUAUUUACACAAAUAAAACAAAAUUCCAAAAAGAAAUAAGAUAUAAAACCUCUUUAAAAAUUAUAUGCAUAUUCAGAGUACUUGGGGAAAGUGGUUUUGGAGUCUUGAGACAAAAUAGAUCUUUCUACACAUAAACCAGUUUGAAAGUACUACUUGAAAGGUAGCACUGAUAGGAAAGAUGUCCAGAGACCUCCGGGCCACUACAGGACAUGAGUAGGCCUCAGUUACACAAAACCCUGCCAGUGACCAUGCAAUGCUUCAGUGUGGGAGGGACAGCUAUCCAAAAACCUGCCCACUGCCAUGCCGCAAAGGGGGUGGAGGGACCAUAGACACCUAGAGGCCCUGUUGCUGCCACAUUAUGCAAUGCUGGCAUUGAGGUCAGCCAGAGGCCUGCCCACUUACAGAGGAAGCCACUGCAAUGUGCAAGUAUGUGGUAGACAGAGGGGAGAAAGAGAAGUGGAACAGUUUGAGCAUUGUGAAGAGAGAUGGAACUGGAGACACAAGGGUCGAGAGGAAUAGUCUCUUGUGAGUGGGCGGCCUGCUGAGGCUAUAGUGACGUCUCAACCUGUGCUGCUUCUGAGGGUUAUGCAGUGGCAGGAGUCUUUGUCCAUGUCCAUGGUUCAUAUUACCACUAGACACCAUGUGGACAUCCUUGGUCUGGGCAAAGGCCUGAGCACACUUACAUGUUCAAGGGCACUACAAAAUUGGUCCUGUCCCUAACUAGCCACAGUUCUUGCCCCUCUAUACCUUGCCUGAGCAGCACAAUAGAGCUGUCCCCGAUGGGGGAGGUGGGGUACAAGUGAGCCAGCCACCUAAAGCAGUCAGUAGAGCUGGCCCUGAGGUCUUGAGAUCAAGUGAGCUGGCCCUGACCCUCAUUGACUAUAGCUCUUGGUAGAGCACGUCCCGUACCUCACCUGGGCAGCACAGCAAAGCUAGUCCUGGCUGUAGGUGGGGGUGGGAGUGGAGGGUGAGAGUGAGCCAGCUCCAGGGGCUAGAGGGAGGGAGGGCUUGACUUGCCUUUUUUCUGCUCUGAGCACCUCAGAAUAGCACAGACAUGGGGGUGAUGCCCUCUACCCCAUUGUCCCUUGCCACUGGAGGCAGUUAGGAGAGCUGGCCCUGAGGUUAUGACAACUGGAGAGCUGGACAUUCCCCUCCCUUGGUAGAUAGAGCAGGCCCUGCAUCUUGAUGGAGCAACAUAGUGGACCUGGCUCUGAUGGUAAAGGCACCAGUGAGCCAGCCCUGAGAACAUGAGAGCAAAGAUCUGUCCCAGGCCCCUCUCAGGCUGGCUGUAGCCCUUUUGACAAUAUGUACUCACUGAUAAGUGGAUAUUAGCCCAAAACUUAGGAUACCCAAGAUAUAAG